UGCAAAAGUUGAGUUCUUUAUAUAUGAGGUGCCUAAUUGUUAUGAGUUUUAAAUUGAAAGUCCUUAUGUGACAAUUAUUCCUUUAAUAAGUUAGUGAAUGGAUAUUUGUUUGGUAUUUUUGAAAUUUGGUUGAAAUAAAAAGGGUAAUUUUGUAAAUUAAUUAAAAUAACCUAAUAAGACAAAUGAUAAAAGCUAUCAUUUUUUUUCAUUCUUUCUUCUUCAACCGUGGGAAAGAACAGAAAAUAGCAGCCAUGGAUGAGCUCCAUUCGGCCAAGCUUUUAUGGCUUAUAUAGAGUUCCAGGUUAGCUCGGGUUGGAGGCCGUCGGAGAUAUUAUCACCCUAUCGAGUUAACGUUAUCGGACUAAGUAAACUCAAGUGAUUCGAGUCUAUGGCAUGUAUAGGGUUUUAAUGUGAGUAUGUAAUAUUAUGAUUUAGCCAAAGGCAUUGGCUUGUUAUUAAGGUAGUAUUAGUCAUGUAAAUUGGCCUAUGUCGGCUAAUGACGUUAUGGGCCCAUAUGAUUAUUCUUAUGCAUUUAUGUUAUUAUUUCUUGUGAUGUGGCUUACAA